rnacentral:rRNA from 1 species
CUUCUCUCAAAGAUUAGCCAUGCAUGUCUAAGUAUAAGCAACUGUACUGUGAAACUGCGAAUGGCUCAUUAAAUCAGUUAUCGUUUAUUUGAUAGUACCUUACUACAUGGAUACCUGUGGUAAUUCUAGAGCUAAUACAUGCUAAAAACCCCGACUUCAGGAAGGGGUGUAUUUAUUAGAUAAAAAACCAACGCCCUUCGGGGCUCCUUGGUGAAUCAUAAUAACUUAACGAAUCGCAUGGCCUUGCGCCGGCGAUGGUUCAUUCAAAUUUCUGCCCUAUCAACUUUCGAUGGUAGGAUAGUGGCCUACCAUGGUGGCAACGGGUAACGGGGAAUUAGGGUUCGAUUCCGGAGAGGGAGCCUGAGAAACGGCUACCACAUCCAAGGAAGGCAGCAGGCGCGCAAAUUACCCAAUCCCGAUACGGGGAGGUAGUGACAAUAAAUACUGAUACGGGGCUCUUUUGGGUCUCGUAAUUGGAAUGAGAACAAUUUAAAUCCCUUAACGAGGAACAAUUGGAGGGCAAGUCUGGUGCCAGCAGCCGCGGUAAUUCCAGCUCCAAUAGCGUAUAUUAAAGUUGUUGCAGUUAAAAAGCUCGUAGUUGAACCUUGGGUCUGGCUGGCCGGUCCGCCUCACCGCGAGUACUGGUCCGGCUGGACCUUUCCUUCUGGGGAACCUCAUGGCCUUCACUGGCUGUGGGGGGAACCAGGACUUUUACUGUGAAAAAAUUAGAGUGUUCAAAGCAGGCCUUUGCUCGAAUACAUUAGCAUGGAAUAAUAGAAUAGGACGUGUGGUUCUAUUUUGUUGGUUUCUAGGACCGCCGUAAUGAUUAAUAGGGAUAGUCGGGGGCGUCAGUAUUCAGCUGUCAGAGGUGAAAUUCUUGGAUUUGCUGAAGACUAACUACUGCGAAAGCAUUCGCCAAGGAUGUUUUCAUUAAUCAGGGAACGAAAGUUAGGGGAUCGAAGACGAUCAGAUACCGUCGUAGUCUUAACCAUAAACUAUGCCGACUAGGGAUCGGACGGGAUUCUAUAAUGACCCGUUCGGCACCUUACGAGAAAUCAAAGUAUUUGGGUCUGUAGUACGAUGACGAACG